AUUGAACGCUGGCGGCAGGCCUAACACAUGCAAGUCGAGCGAGCGGCGGAAGGGUGAGGAAUGUAUGGGGACUGCCCGUUAGAGGGGGAUUACUACUGGAAGCGGUGGCUAAUACCGCAUACUGUCGAAUAACCCAUAUGGGAUUAGCUAGUAGGUAAGGGAAUGGCUUAACUAGGCGACGAUCCCUAGCUGGUCUGAGAGGAUGAUCAGCCACACUGGGACUGAGACACGGCCCAGACUCCUACGGAGGCAGCAGUGGGGAAUAUUGCACAAUGGGCGAAAGCCUGAUGCAGCCAUGCCGCGUGUAUGAAGAAGGCCCUAGGGUUGUAAAGUACUUUCAGUCGGGAGGCGUUACCGACAGAAGAAGCACCGGCUAACUCCGUGCCAGCAGCCGCGGUAAUAC
rnacentral:rRNA from 1 species